CAGCAAGUUUAAAGUGAGUCGUCAUCAGGUCGUCAUCCAAUCAGAUGCAUGCAUCUAGUAACUUGCCGAGCAUGCGCACAAAAAAAGUGGGUACACUAGUUACGUCUCUGUAUGUCUCUACUCUGUGAUAUUGGUGUAUUUCCACCAGGGCUCGAAUUUUAUCGCGGCAAUUGCCGUAGAGGGAGUACAAAAUGCCGUGGAUCAUUGCGGAAACGACAGCAAUUUUUUGCCGUAUAGUAUAAUUUUUAUACUAUUCACUAAAUUACUAUGUUAACAAUAAAAUUAAAUUUUUGUUACAGUAAUUUGAAAAAAUGCCGUGGAAACUGCCAAAAUUGGCGUAGACAGCUGUUACGUUCUACGGCAAUUUUUAACGCCAUUGCCGUCGAUUGAUUUCAGGGAAAUUCGAGGCCUGAUUUCCACUUGACAGGUUAAUCUUUUAAGAGGCAAUCCACCCUCAUUAGCCAUACUUUAGUAUUUUACUCUGUCUAAUGCCAGACGAUUUUGCUCUGUCUAACGCCAGAUGAUUUUACUUGUCAAGUGGAGAGUGCUGCCACUCAAUGGGUUAAUAAUACUACAUACUAGAAUUUUAUAUUUUCAAAUAUAGGCAUAGUAUGCUGGUUGUGCGGUGAACGGGGGCAUGCCAGGAUCAAGUGCCCCCAAAGGCAUGGUUCAAAAGAGGGGAAGGGACGGCCAGUUGUUUUUAACCAUUGCAGAUUUGAUAAAUUAACAAUGUAAUUUUAUAUUGUUACUAUAUCAAAUCUGCAAUUGUUAAAAUUGUUUACAGUAAUAACGGCUAAAUUUGACAGUUAAACUUAGUUUAUUUUUCAGUUAAAUUUAUUAAAUUGAUAUAUUAGGGCUGUUUAUAUGGAAAAGCUAGCCCAUGCAGCCAUCUCACCAGGUCGAUUACUUUCUUCUCUGUUUUGCCUUCAAGAUUUUCUCAAAAAAGUUGAUAAAAAUAUUGUAAACUGGUCUUUUAGUUAAUCAAGAUUUUCCUUUCGGCUUUGGGUCAAAGGAUAUAUUUUCUUGACAUAAAUUAGCAGAUAGCCCGCUUCAUACAACCAGCCCCCUUGAUAGUUUGUGUUGUUAUUACUUUAUACAUGAAACUGCACUAUCAUGAUCAUACUAUCAUGACCAUGACCCAUGUUCUAUAUAAUAAUAGCUCUAUAAAUAUACUUUAUUCGUUCAUUAUAAAAUAAAAAUUACAAAUGUGUAAAAGGUACUGUACCUGGUGGUUUGUCUUCACAACGCUAUAUACCAAUGAUAGCUGUACAAGUAUAUUCCAUCCUCUGUUUCUUUACAAUUUUCCAAUAAAGUGUUUGUCAUACAAGUUCAAGUCAGUAAUAUUAACAAUGUCACAGGCAAUUUCAUGCUGGCUUACAGUAACUGCCAUAACCCCGUGGUUACAAAUACCGUCGCUUGCAACUAAGGGUGAACAGUUGCAGAUAAUACAUUGUCUAUUCUCAUCACAAAGUUCGAUGUUUUUACUGAAAAAGUUCAAAGUUUGUGAUGAUCAUUUCAUGGUUUCAAAGCCAACCAAGCUUGUAGCUACUUGAACGUUAUAUUGGCUGAUCAGAUUAAAACAUGUCAACUAAGUGUUGUUGCUCAUGACAAACAUUGAAGAUUCUCACGCAAAUAUAUGUAAUGUUUUUAUGAGCAACCGUUCAUCGUUAGUUGCAAGCGACGGUACAACAUUGAUACCAUCAACAUUUUUCCGACUGUGUCCGAAUGUCCAACGAUCAUUCAAAGAUGUUAUAAAUUCCUACUGUUCGUUUAUAGUAAACCCGCUCGGUACUCACAAUGAUUUCAUGUAGAAAUACAUGCAGUUUAAUACGAGGAAAUGAACUGAUUCUAAAAUAUGUAAAUUUAAAGCAUUGACUUACAGUAUAAAGCGAUGUGAAGAGAAGGUAACUUUUAUUGCUAUUUGCUAAAUCUAUAAAUAAAGCCAAGUUAACAUUUUGCAUAUCUGUGACUGCAUGUUUAUAUAUUUUUUAUAGUAUAAAAAUGAAAUUGUAUAAAUACUAUGAUAUAAAUUAAAUACAUUUCUGUUUAUUGGUAUUUACUGUCUACUAUUUACUGUUUAUUGGUAUUUAC